rnacentral:rRNA from 1 species
AGUGAACGCUGGCGGUAGGCCUAACACAUGCAAGUCGAACGGCAGCACAGUAAGAGCUUGCUCUUACGGGUGGCGAGUGGCGGACGGGUGAGGAAUACAUCGGCAUCUACUUUUUCGUGGGGGAUAACGUAGGGAAACUUACGCUAAUACCGCAUACGACCUACGGGUGAAAGCAGAGGAUCUUCGGACCUUGCGCGAUUGAAUGAGACGAUGUCGGAUUAGCUAGUUGGCGGGGUAAAGGACCACCAAGGCGACGAUCCGUAGCUGGUCUGAGAGGAUGAUCAGCCACACUGGAACUGAGACACGGUCCAGACUCCUACGGGAGGCAGCAGUAGGGAAUAUUGGGCAAUGGGCGCAAGCCUGAUCCAGCCAUACCGCGUGGGUGAAGAAGGCCUUCGGGUUGUAAAGCCCUUUUGUUGGGAAAGAAAAGCAGCAGGUUAAUACCCCGCUGUUCUGACGGUACCCAAAGAAUAAGCACCGGCUAACUUCGUG